rnacentral:rRNA from 1 species
GAUCAUGGCUCAGGACGAACGCUGGCGGCGUGCCUAACACAUGCAAGUCGAGCGGGGGACGGAUGGUAGCUUGCUACCGUUUGUUUCUAGCGGCGGACGGGUGAGUAACGCGUGAGCAACCUGCCUUUAUCAGGGGGAUAACGCAUCGAAAGAUGUGCUAAUACCGCGUAAGACCACAGCUUCACAUGGAGCGGGGGUCAAAGGAGCAAUCCGGAUAAAGAUGGGCUCGCGUCCGAUUAG